rnacentral:lncRNA from 1 species
UUUUCUCCAGAUUUCCAAUUCUACCCUAAAUAACGUUUUUCCGGACCGGACACGCGCGAGCUCGCGCAUAACUUCGCGCGUUUCUUCGCGCAUGAUUCUGCCUCGGCCUUUCUUACGCGCGAACUCCUGCGCGCCUUCGCGCAUUUCUUCGCGCACCUGGAGCUUGAUUUCGUCCAUUUUUUCAUCUCGUCCUUGCGCGCACUCAACUCCGAGGGGUUGUUCUUGCUCAUAAAUCAUUGUAAUAUCCUCUUGAAAGCAUCAUACAGGCUCCUCGUCCUGCAAUGUAUACAUAUCACAAUUAAAGCCUAUUUUUCAUCAAUUAACCAUAAUAUGUCAUUGGAAUAUAAUCAAGCGGAAGCAUAAACAAUAGCUAAAUCACCUAGAUUUUGCCUAUUAUCAUGUACUAUUUAUAAUAGUACAUGAGCAAUUACGGUCUUUUUCCCUAUUAAGAAAAAAAAAAGCGAACUAUUACUGCUCUUUUAGCACAUGAUAAGGUUAGCAAUCAAAUUUACAUGAAAGAACACGAGUGAUUAGACAUCUAAUUAUUUUGCCAAGCUCAUAUUCCUCACUUUAUUAAGAAUUAAUUUUGUUAUUUUUCUAUCAAGAGAAAGAGGUUAGAACUAGAGUAAGCCAAGAGAAAGAGAAAAUCAUACAAAUAGCUAAUUGAGCUAAUACUAAUAGUAUUUGACUAAGAUUAGUAAUAUUUUAUAAAUUAAUUAAUAUUGGUAGCAUUUGUACUAUAAAAAGUUAAACUAGGUAGUUUUCACUUAUUCAUAUCUCCAGAAGUUUUACAAAGCAAAUAAGCAUUGGCAUAUAGAUUAAGAAAUAUAGAAAUUUGAAAUAAAAGAAUAGAAGAAUAUUGUAAAGAAAAUGGAGAGGGAAUUCUAUUGAUUUGAGAUGAAUUGUAACGGAAUAUAAUUCCUCUAUUUAUAGAAAAAAGUGACUUGGCCACAAAGUAACAAACCUUAGACAUUCACCUUAAAUAAAAUUCUAUUUAUAACACUCUCCCUAAAAUGUCUAUUCAACAAAUAAUGUGCCUCGUUAACACCUUAACUAAAAUAAAACCCAGUGGAAAAAAUUCUAGUGAAGGAAAAAUAAUGCACAUAUUUAAAAAUACGUCUUUUGGUUGCCUCGUUAAAAACCUUUCAAGGAAAAUCCAGUGGGACAAAACCUUAUAAGGGAAAAAGAGUACAACACAUAUUAAUUCCCCCUGAUGAGAGCAUCAAUUCACGUCUUUAAGCCUUCGCAUUCCGAUCUUGUACACUAGCUUCUUGAAGGUUGACAUCGGUAGAGAUUUGGUGAACAAAGCAGCCAUAUUAUCACUUGAACGAAUUUGUUGCACAUUGAUAUCACUAUUCUUUUGAAGAUCAUGAGUAAAAAAUAACUUUGGUAAAAUGUAUUUUGUCCUAUCUCGUUUUAUGAAUCCUUCCUUCAAUUGGGUUAUGCAUGUUGCAUUGUCUUCAUACAAAAUUGUGGGUAAUUUGUCAUACUUCAAACCAUAUUUUUCUCAAAUAAGAUGUAUUAUAGACCUCAACCACACACAUUCUCGACUUGCUUCAUGAAUAGCAAUUAUCUCAGCAUGAUUAGAUGAAGUAGCUACGAUUGAUUGCUUAGUCGAUCGCCAAGAUAUGACAGUACUUCCAUAUGUAAACACAUAGCCUGUUUGAGAUCGAGCCUUGUGAGAGUCGAAUUAAUACCCAGCAUCGGCAUAACCAACAAGAUCGGAACUGCAAUCAUUGCCAUAAAAUAAACUCAUAACGCUAGUCCUUUUUAGAUACCACAAUAUAUGUUUGAUUCUAUUCCAAGGUCUCCUUGUAGGAGCAGAGCUAUAUCUUACUAAGAUAUUAAUUGAAAAAGUUAUGUCGGGCCCUUGUAGUAUUAGCAAGAUACAUUAGUGCACCAAUUGCACUAAGAUAUGGUACUUCAGGAUCAAGUAGCUCUUCAUUAUUUUCUUAAGGUCGGAACGGAUCCUUAUACAUAUCAAGUGAUUGAACAACCAUCGGAGUACUUAAUGGAUGUGCUCCAUCCAUGUAAAACCAUUUAAAUACCUUUUCUAUAUAGGCAGAUUGAUGAACAAAAAUCUCAUUUGCCAAAUGUUCAAUUUGCAAACCGAGACAUAAUUUUAUAUUUCCGAGAUCUUUCAUCUAGAAUUUCCUCUCUAAAUAAUCAAUUGUCUUUUGGAGUUCUAUAGGAGUUCCAAUAAGGUCUAUGUCAUCAACAUAUAUGGCAAGUACAACAAAUUGCGAUAUUUUUUUCUUUAUAAAAACGCAUGGGCAAUUAUACCAUAUUCAUUUUGAUUGCUUUAGACCAUACAAAGAUCUUUGCAAUUUGAUUGAAAAUAUUUUUUGAGACUUUGAAUUAUGUGAUCGGGCAUUUUAAAUCCUUCAAGAAUUUUCAUGUAUAUCUCAUUAUCAAGUGAGCCAUAAAGGUAGGGUGUAACCACAUCCAUUAAAUGCAUGUCAAGCUUUUCAUGGACAACAAAGCUAAUGAGAUAAUGAAAUGUUAUUGCAUCCAUAACAGGUGAUUAUGUCUCUUUAUAAUCGACCUAAGGCCUUUGUGAAAAUCUUUGUGCAACAAGGCGUGCCUUAUAUCUUUGCACCUCAUUUUUAUCAUUGCUUUUACGUACAAAGACCCUUUUAUAGCCAACACACUUAACACCAUUAGGUGUUUGGACUACAUGCCCAAAAACUUCACGUUUCGCAAGUGAAUCCAACUCGGAUUGGAUUGCUUCUUGCCAUUUUGGCCAAUCACGUCUUUGUGAAUAUUCUUCAACAAAUUGAGGUUCAAGAUCCUCACUAUCUUGCAUAAUGCUAGAUGCAAUAUUAUAUGCAAGGACAUAAUCCAACACUAUAUCCAGUCGAUUAAAAUCUGUCUCAAUAUCGAUUGGAUUUGUUGAUAGUUCCUUAUUUUCUUGAGUCUUAAGCUCAGUGAUUUCUUCAUGAAUCUCAGGAUUGGUUCAAUCGUGGAUUUCUUCAUGAUUCUCUUUCGUAGUGUCAUCUUGAUCAUUUGUUUUCCUUUUUCUAGGAUUUCGAUCCUUAGAACUCAAUAGUUUUUCACGUUUUAGGCGUGCUUUUGACUCAUUAGCUAUGAUACUAGAAGAUUGUCCAACGGGAAUAUCAACACGGAUUGGAACAUUCACUAUAGGGAUAUGUGAUUUUUUAUCCUUUUCAGAUCCGUAAAUGCACUUGCCAUUUGAUUUGCUAUUUUCUAAAAAAGGAUAAUAUUUAGCACCUCUUUUUCAUAAAUAAAGGCACGUGGAACAAGAUGAGACAAUGAUGGAUUUUUCACGUAAUUUCUCAUUUGGUUUCACCAAUUUCUCCCCCUAAUUUUGGGAAAAGUGUCUCAUCGAAUCGACAUUCUACAAAUCGAGCAGUGAACAAAUCCCCCAUUAAUAUUUUGAGGUAGCCAAUAAUAGAGGGUAAUUCAAAUCCAACAUAUAUUCCUAACCUUCUUUGAGGAACCAUCUUGGUGCGAUAUGGUUGUGCUACUGGCACAUAUACUGCGCAUCCAAAUAUUCUUAAAUGAGAUAUAUUAGGUCCAUGACUCAAAACUAAUUGCAACGGAGAAUAUUUAUGAUAAUUUGUCGGUCUCAGACGAACCAGCAUUGCUGCAUGCAAAAUGGCAUGACCCCAAACAAAAGUGGGUAAUCUCGUUUUCAUGCGUAAUGGUCUUGCUAUCAAUUGCAGAAAUUUAAUUAAAGACUCUGCAAGACCAUUUUGAGUGUGAACAUGAGCUACAAGAUGUUCUACUGUUAUCCUAAUUGAUAAGCAAUAAUCAUUAAAUACUCGGGAUGAAAACUCAGCAGCAUUAUCGAGUCUAAUAGACUUAAUUGGAUUGUCAGGUAAUUGUGCCCGUAAUUAGAUUAUUUGUGCCAUUAAUUUUGCAAACGCUAGGUUGCGAGAUGACAAUAGGCACACAUGAGACUAUCUACAAAUGCAUCUAUUAAGACCAUAAAGUAUCUGAACGACCCAUUAGGUGGAUGAAUAGUGUAUGGGUCAAAAUCUUACCAAGGUAAUCUUGCCUAAGAAAGGAUAACUAAGAACUGAUUAGGCUGAGGUCGUGCUUAAGAAGAAACCUAUUGGCGAGCUGAGUAGCUAGGGUCGAGGUCGAGUACUCUAAUCAGCCCAAACGGCUAGUUUAGUAAUAAGAUAUUUUAUAGGAAUAUUUUAUAUAAUAUUCUAUGCACUUGUACUUUCAGUUAGGUAAAGGAUAUGUCCCAUAUAAGUGGGAAUGGAGAGAGAAUAAAGGGCAUGUAAUAUUCUAUACGAUAAGUUCUCUCAUGAAACGUUGACUCGGAAAAAGAUUACAAACAUUGUCUUUACAAAAAGAUUCAGUUUAUUGUUGAUCUUACACUUUCUCGCAUCAGAUCCCAGAAAGCUUUCUAUUUUCCACAUUUGUUUGUCUUGCAUCAUUGUCAGAGGGAGAAUCAUCCACCUCAUUAAAUAUUUGGGUGAAUCAUUCUCUCGAUUUACAUUUAUUGACAUUUAAUAUAUUUAUUGCUUGUCAUUACUCCCCCACGCAUUUGUAACAAUAUCAUUUAAUAUCCAUUUUUAUUAAAUUGGUUUAAGUGCAAUUAUAAUAUUAUACAUUGUUCAUAUCAACCGAUUUCAGAUCUAGGAUUUAUUAUGUUUAACUAGGAUUUAUCCAUUACCAUCUUAUUUAAUUAGUUUAACAAAAAGGCUUAAUACUUUUUGGUCAAAUAAUUUGGUGCCCUCUGUGGGAAAUUUUCUAAUUAAAAUUUUAGUUUCUUCUAGAUCCAAAAAAACACACAAAACUUUGCAAAAUCUCUAAUUUCCUUGUUUGCACAAAUCUGACAUGGCAGGCAACAGAGAGGAAAAGAGGAAGGCGAUAGCCGACCUCACUACCAACCUCCUCCACACCAUUAACGAAGUGGACGAAAUGGAGGGCGAAGACAUAACACAAAACACCUCUCCCAGGCAAAACAGCUCGCCUUCACCUCUCGGUAGCAUUACGACCUCGCACGGUAAGAGUGCCUCUGCAUCCACGACAGAAGAGGAACCACCAGUAGUGAAAAAUCUACUUGAAACAUGGUUGACAAACACGCUAACCAUCUUCCUCGACAAACCCGCUAGGAGGUCGAGUAGAGAAGAGACAAGAGUCGGCGUCGCAUCAGCAGCUGACGAGCAGCACGCCCCCUCCCACAACAGGUAUUACCUUCAAUGUUAGUGAUGCAAGUAAUGACACCCUCAAAUCCAUUUUGAGGAAAAUGGAGGAGAUGGAGAAUGAGAACAAAAUGCUCCGUAGCCAAAUGAAAGAGCACCAAAAAAGGGUAGACAAAAUACCGGAUGCCCCAAAACUUCUGCCAAAAAGAGACGUCGGUCAGUUUGUUGUGCAACCAUAUAGCGAUGAGGCUGCACCAUACAUCAUACCAAAGACUUUCAAAAUGCCGUCGUACUUAAAAAUAUACGACCGCACGAUGGACCCGGAGGAUCAUGUGACCCUCUAUGUCACUGCAGUAAAAGGAAAUGACCUCGUAAAAGAACAAAUAUCAUCCAUAUUGCUGAAGAAGUUUGGAGAAACCCUAACCGGGGGAGCACUGACUUGGUACUCACAGUUACCUGCGCGUUCUAUAGAAACGUUCAAGGAAAUGGCAGACAAGUUCAUCACCACCCACGUCGGGGCUAAGAAAGCAUAGGCGAGGGUGAACGACAUUCGCCAUCAAGCAAUCACCUGGCGAAGGACUCAGGGACUUCCUCACCUGGUUCAACCGUAUAAUAAUGACCCUUCCAAAUGUAUUUGAGGGGAUGGUGAUAGCCGCUUUCCAGAAUAGGCUAAGUAGAAGUGGGCCGAGGGUGACCAAAAAGUUGCUAAGCCAACUCAUGAAAUACCCUUCAACCACUUGGGACAAGAUACACAACGCCUACUGUGCUGAGGUAAGAGCCGACGAGGACGAUCUCAACGGACCUACACAACAUUUGACCUCGGUCCAAAUGGAGUAUAGGAAAGACCGGAGAAAUGAUAACAGGAGAGAUCUUUCGGGAUCCCGACCUAAUUGAGAGAGACAUAAUCCUUACGUUAGAGGCACCCUCAUGCCACCUCCACGCCACGAUGAAGGUCUAUCCAGGCCGGAAACGGGAAUCCACCAAAAUGAGAGAGGUAUGCCCCCUUUAUUAUCUGCUCACAAUUUUUGUGUUUCCCCCUCAGAAAUAAUCUACGCACUGGAUAAGCUCGGCCCAAAAGUGAAAUGUCCACAAAAGAUGAGAUCCGACCCGAGCAUUAGAAAGUCAAAUGUCCUCUGUGAAUUCCACUAGGAGCGGGGUCAUAAAACCGAUGAUUGUAUUUUCCUAUGAUAGGAGUUCGUGAACAUGCUUCAUCAAGGGCACUUGAAAGAACUGAUGAGCGAUCGUGGGAGGGCUAACUUCACCCGAGGGCAAGAACAACAUCAGGGACCGCCCAAACCACCUUCCCCAUCUCGGACCAUUCAAAUGAUCAUCGGAGGAGGCGACGAUGCAUCUAUCAACAACAUGAAGUUCACCACCACCCACAAACUCAAACGGUACAUCACCCACAAACGGUAUGACAAACUCGAAGAAAGUAUCAUCAUCGAUAAGUCAGAAACCCACGGUUUAGUCCUUCCUUACUAUGACACUCUUGUAAUUACUUUACGUGUCCUUGAUACUGAAAUAAAAUGUGUUAUGGUCGAUAAUGGGAGUGGUGCAUUCAUCAUCCACCCUCGAGUUCUCACCCAAAUGAAGCUCGAGGACAAGAUAGUGUCGCGUUGCAUCACACUAACAGGCUUUAACAAUGCAGUUGAGCUGGCAUAUGGAGAAAUCACGCUGCCUGUCCUGGCUGGCGGCGUCACUUUGGACACCACAUUCCACAUCAUGGACCAGGAUACGGUGUACAAUGCCAUCAUAGGCUGACCUUGGAUACACGCCAUGAAAGCCUACCCCUCCAGCUUAUACCAAGUCAUCAAAUUUCCUACCCCCUAGGGAGUAUUAAGCAUCCUAGGAGAGAAAUGCACGGCUCGAGAAUGCUACCGCAUCGCCUAAGACUGCACAUACACCCAACAACUAAAAGGAAAGGCCGAAGAGGCAUAACAAUUAACGAAGUCGGGGUCAGAUGGCGAUGUGGGGAAAGACGUCGUCCGAGAGCCCAAAAUCGUAGAAGCCACAAGGUCAACCGUAGAGGACCUCAACCCUAUCCAACUAGACGAUAACAACCACAACAAGAAAGCUUUCAUCGGCCAUAAGCUCCAAGAUCCAGGAAAAUUUCACCAAUUCUUAAAAAGUAACGUAGACCUGUUUGCUUUUUCCAAUGCAGACAUGCUAGGUAUCCCGAAGGAGAUAGAAACUCACAAGUUGAAUGUAGACCCCUCCAAUGAGGCAAAUUAGACGAAAGUUCAACUCCGCAAUAAAUGACACGGUUCGCGAAGAGGUUGAAAAAUUAUUAGAAAAUGGUUCUAUUAGAGAAUUGAAGUACCCUCAAUGGGUCACCAACUUGGUCAUGGUGAAAAAGAAGAACGGAAAGUGGCGGAUGUACGUAGACUUCACGGAUCUGAACAAAGCCUGCCUAAAAGACUCAUUUUGGCUGCCCCAUAUCGACAAACUCAUCGACUCUAUAGGCAUGAACUGCUAAUCUUCUUAGACGCCUACUCAGGCUACAGCCAAAUCCUCAUGGAGGAUGAGGACCAAGAAAAAACCACUUUCAUCACCCAUCAGGGGACAUACUGCUACAAGGUGAUGUCGUUCGGAUUGAAAGACAUAGGGGCAACAUAUCAGAGGCUAAUGACCAAAAUGUUCAAAGAUCAACUCGGCAAGACCAUGGAAGUAUAUAUAGAUGACAUGUUGGUUAAGUCAAAAAGGAAAGGAGACCAUAUCGACCACUUCAGGGAAGCCUUCGACAUACUCAGAAGGUACGACAUGAAAUUGAACCCCGAAAAAUACGCCUUUAGUAUAACCUUUGGAAGUUCCUCGGCUUCUUGGUAUCGCAACGAGGCGUCGAGGUCAACCCCGACUAAAUCAAGUCCAUAGAAGGAAUCCCAGAAAAUUUAACUAGCAAGAAACAAGUGCAAAAGCUAACCGACCGGAUAACCGCCCUGUCGAGAUUCAUCUCACGGUCCUCCGGUAGGUGCCACAAAUUUUUCAGCAUACUCAAAAAGGAUAACGGACUCCAAUAGAAUUUCGAGUGCGUCGACGCCUUAAAAGAACUAAAGGCCUACCUGUCUUCGCCCCCAUUGCUCACUAAGGUAGAACCUGAAGAGCGUCUCCUUGUCUACCUGGUCGUGUCCAUUGUCACAGUAAGUGCAGUCCUGGUACGAGAAAAUAAAGGUAUGCAGACUCCAAUCUACUACAUUAGCAAAACCUUGACCGACGCUGAAACGAGGUACCCCUACCUCGAGAAGCUAGAUUUGGCCUUGGUCGUAGCUUCAUGAAAGCUUAGACCUUAUUUCCAGUGCUACCCCAUCUUGGUGGUCACGACUUUUCCUCUAAGGAGUAUCCUGCACAAACUCGAACUAUCAGGCAAAUUGGCCAAGUGGUUCAUAGAGCUAAGCGAGCACGAUAUAACCUAUCAUCCGCAAAUGGUGAUAAAGUCGCAAGUUCUUGCCGACUUCGUCGCCGAUUUAAGUACGAAGAUAAUGCCCGAAGUAGAAAGGGAUACCACCACUACUUCCGUCAAAAUGCACAACCAUUGGGUCUGUACACUGAUGGUACUUCUAACGCAUCAGGAUCUAAACUAGGACUCGUGCUCGAGGUCCCAAUAGGCGAAAUAGUUUGCUAGUCCAUACGGUGCCCUGAUAGGACUAACAAUAAGGCCGAGUAUGAGGCCAUGAUUGCAGGGUUAAAACUGGCACUCAAGUACGGAGCACAAUAAGUGUCCUGCGAUGCGACUCGCAACUCAUCGUUAACCACGUUACAGGGACUUUCCAAAUUAAAGAGCAACAACUACAGAAAUACAAGGCCGAAAUUUGCAAACUGUUACCUGAGUUCGACGAAUGUCAGAUCGAUCAAAUAUCCCAAGGGCAGAACAUCGAAGCGGACGAUGUUAAACCUCCUUUUUCUCGAGGGGCAUAUGGAGUUUUUCCAAUUAAAGGGACAAUAAUCGAAAUAGGAUUAUUUAUUUAAUCAGAGUCUCCACAUGGGAUAAUUUUAUGGUGUCCCAAGUCACCGGUUUAUUUUAAACCCCAAAUCGAGGAAAUUGAUUCUAUUUAUGAUUUGAGAAAACCAAAAGACCGGGUAAGGAAUUUUGUUAAUCCGGGAGAAAGUGUAGCAUGGUCGCUUUAAUCAUACCUGGCUUAAUUAAAUUAUUUUAAUUACGUAUUUUAGAUCCUAUGUGCAUUUUACCUUUUACUGCUUUUAGAUUGCUUGAUUAUUCGUAAUUAUGAAAUUAUUUUGAAACGAGUCACGCGUAUGUGUACUCGUUUGUUUGGCGUGUCGAAGUCAUGUCACACGUACGUGUACACAACUAAUAACACUUUAUUAUUAUUACGAUUGUUUGGCCAAAGUCAUGCGAACGUGUACCUUGAUUUAUUUUGAAAAUCAUAAUUAUGUCACGCGAACGUGUACACAAUCACGAUGAUAGAUUAAGUCGCGCCUAAAGCAUUUUCUACGAAUAUUCAUUUUUAAAUCGUACUCGUGUCACGCGAACGUAUACACAAUUAAUAACAUUUUAUUAUUAUUAAGUCACCCAAUGUUGCGCGAACGGAUACUUUGGUCUUAAUUUGAAACCCGUAAUUAUAUCAUGCGAACGUCGAAAAUCUUAAAGAUUGCCUACCCGAGUCAUUGGCCUAAACAUGCUCCUAGCGGUUCAAUUAAUUAAAAGAGUAAUAGAAAUAUUUCAAUUAACUUUUAACUUUCAAUCCAAUCCCACGGCCAAAUACUUGUUUUAGUAUCUAAAUCAUCAUCCAAUUCAAUUAAUAAAUUAAUUUAACUCUGGAGUCACCAAAAUGUUAAUCAAAAUGCCUUAAACAUCUAUCUCUUAAUGAAUAAUUAAAAUAGGCAAUUUAACUCAUCUGACCAUUAGUUUCAUCCGAAUAGGGGCUAACCAAUUAACAAGAACAAAUGGAGCAAAUAAAUAGUAAGAAGUCAUCGAAAUAGAGUAAUGAAACGUUAACAUUCAGUAAAACACAGCAACAACAAACUAAUAAAACAAUAAAAGCAUAAUAUUAAGCAAAAAAUAACAGAAGGAAGGAAGAAAAUGACCUCAAAACGAUAGAACCCCGGACGAAACUCGAACCGAAAACCAACAGACAGUACCCUGACGCACGACUGAAAUGGAUCCCCUGAACAACAACCACCGACGACCUCGAAGCUUGCCGAAAAUAUCAAACUAAACUAAAAAGACAAAAACUAAACUCUGGCUGGUUUUUAGCAUUAAAGAUGCAAAAUCAUAGGGGUUUUGGAACUGAUUUUUAUGGGGUUUUAUGGUUCUGCUUUUUUAGGACCCUAUUUCUCUCGUUUUUUUGGACUGAAGAUCGUCGCUGCCCCCUCUCACUCAGUUGCCCUUUGCGUGAGCGUGUAUCUCUGUAUAUGUGUGUGUGCGAAUUCCUUUUAGGUGGUGGGCGGCUGUUUUGUUCUAGAAUGGAGGAGUUAGUCGGCUGGCGGGAGACGACAGAGGCGGAGAUGAGGGAGCAGCAGUGGCAUCGCAGCGACAUGAGCUAUAGCCGUCGCCGGUCAUCACCUCCAUCGGCAACAGCCAUGAUAACUGGAGAUGAAAGGUUGUCUCGUUGUGUCUUUGUGUGUGUUUGAGUGAUGUUUCUUCCAAGUGAGGGCGAUGGGUGAGAGAUGGUAGAGGUAAGAGGCAUUACCAGUGUUGGUUUUCCAGCAAUGAAGGCAAGAGAAAGAUCAGAUCCUUUUUCUCUAAAGGAACGGUCGCCCGUUCUCCAGUCCCGUUCAAGAGAGAUAGCUGAUGUCUUUUUAGGGAGUAGGAAUUAGGUUAGGUCAAAUGGG